rnacentral:rRNA from 1 species
UUGACCUCGGAUCAGGUAGGGAUACCCGCUGAACUUAAGCAUAUCAAUAAGCGGAGGAAAAGAAACCAACAGGGAUUGCCCCAGUAACGGCGAGUGAAGCGGCAAGAGCUCAAAUUUGAAAGCUGGCUCCUUCGGGGUCCGCAUUGUAAUUUGCAGAGGAUGCUUCGGGAGCGGUCCCCAUCUAAGUGCCCUGGAACGGGCUGUCAUAGAGGGUGAGAAUCCCGUAUGGGAUGGGGUGUCCGCGCCCGUGUGAAGCUCCUUCGACGAGUCGAGUUGUUUGGGAAUGCAGCUCUAAAUGGGUGGUAAAUUUCAUCUAAAGCUAAAUAUUGGCCGGAGACCGAUAGCGCACAAGUAGAGUGAUCGAAAGAUGAAAAGCACUUUGAAAAGAGAGUUAAAAAGCACGUGAAAUUGUUGAAAGGGAAGCGUUUGCGACCAGACUCGCCUACGGGGUUCAGCCUGCCUUCGGGCAGGUGUACUUCCCCGUGGGCGGGCCAGCGUCGGUUUGGGCGGCCGGUCAAAGGCCCUCGGAAUGUAACGCCUCUCGGGGCGUCUUAUAGCCGAGGGUGCCAUGCGGCCUGCCCGGACCGAGGAACGCGCUUCGGCUCGGACGCUGGCUUAAUGGUCGUAAACGACC